rnacentral:rRNA from 1 species
AUGCGUCCCCUUUCCAUUCGUGUGAGACAUGGUUGCUACUUGAAGGGCGGACCUUGUGCAUACUCAGGUACACCCGAGGAGACCAUGAAGAACCAAAGGACCAAGGCCAAGCAUGCGCGGAAGCAAAGGAAGGAGAAGGAAGAAGUGCCAGCAGCUACAGCAACCGGGCAUCUGGCAGGACCCCCGGACAUCCGGCGCCCCGCGACAGCCCGGACAUCCGGCCCCAGCCCGGACAUCUGGCGCCCCAUCACAGAACGUCCAGAAGGUGGACCUCGCCAGCCCGGACAUCCGGCCAAAGGCCCGGACAUCCGGCUCUUCGUGAGCCGCCGGACAUCCGGCCCGCAGCCCGGACAUCCGGCACCUGCCUGUGCGCAGAGAACGGGCCAAGGGCCCAUGUAUCCCCCUCUCACUUACCCCUUCGUGGGCUAG